AUUGAACGCUGGCGGCAUGCUUUACACAUGCAAGUCGAACGGUAACAGGCCGCAAGGUGCUGACGAGUGGCGAACGGGUGAGUAAUGCAUCGGAACGUGCCCAGUCGUGGGGGAUAACGCAGCGAAAGCUGCGCUAAUACCGCAUACGAUCUAUGGAUGAAAGCGGGGGACCGUAAGGCCUCGCGCGAUUGGAGCGGCCGAUGUCAGAUUAGGUAGUUGGUGGGGUAAAGGCUCACCAAGCCAACGAUCUGUAGCUGGUCUGAGAGGACGACCAGCCACACUGGAACUGAGACACGGCACAGACUCCUACGGGAGGCAGCAGUGGGGAAUUUUGGACAAUGGGCGCAAGCCUGAUCCAGCAAUGCCGCGUGCAGGAAGAAGGCCUUCGGGUUGUAAACUGCUUUUGUACGGAACGAAACGGUCCUGGUUAAUACCUGGGGCUAAUGACGGUACCGUAAGAAUAAGCACCGGCUAACUACGUGCCAGCCGCCGCAGUAAUAC
rnacentral:rRNA from 1 species